rnacentral:rRNA from 1 species
CUGGCGGCGAUGCCUAACACAUGCAAGUCGAACGGAGAUAGAAAUAUCUCAGUGGCGAACGGGUGAGUAACACGUGAGCAACCUGCCCUUUACUCAGGGAUAACAGUUGGAAACGACUGCUAAUACCGGAUAAGACCACGCCGAGGCAUCUCGGAGGGGUCAAAGUGCUUUAGCGGUAAAGGAUGGGCUCGCGUCCAAUUAGCUAGUUGGUGAGGUAACGGCCCACCAAGGCGACGAUUGGUAGCCGACUUGAGAGAGUGAUCGGCCACACUGGAACUGAGACACGGUCCAGACUCCUACGGGAGGCAGCAGUGGGGAAUAUUGGGCAAUGGGCGAAAGCCUUACCCAGCCAAUGCCGCGUGAGUGAUGAAGGUCCUUUUGGAUUGUAAAGCUCUUUGAUUAGGGACGAACUUAAAUUCCGACGGUACCUAAAGAACCUAAGCCCGGCUAACUAUGGUGCCAGCCGCAGC